rnacentral:rRNA from 1 species
AGUGAACGCUGGCGGUAGGCCUAACACAUGCAAGUCGAACGGCAGCACAGUAAGAGCUUGCUCUUACGGGUGGCGAGUGGCGGACGGGAGAGGAAUACAUCGGAAUCUACUUUUUCGUGGGGGAUAACGUAGGGAAACUUACGCUAAUACCGCAUACGCCCUACGGGUGAAAGCAGUGGAUCUUCGGACCUUGCGCGAUUGAAUGAGCCGAUGUUGGAUUAGCUAGUUGGCGGGGUAAAGGCCCACCAAGGCGACGAUCCGUAGCUGGUCUGAGAGGAUGAUCAGCCACACUGGAAAUGAGCCACGGUCCAGACUCCUACGGGAGGCAGCAGUGGGGAAUAUUGGACAAUGGGCGCAAGCCUGAUCCAGCCAUACCGCGUGGGUGAAGAAGGCCUUCGGGUUGUAAAGCCCUUUUGUUGGGAAAGAAAAGCAGCAGGUUAAUACCCCGCUGUUCUGACGGUACCCAAAGAAUAAGCACCGGCUAACUUCGUG